rnacentral:lncRNA from 10 species
GUGAUAUUGAAAAAGUCUCAUGAGAUCUGAUGGGUUUAUCAGGGGUUUCCACUUUUGCUUCUUCCUCAUUUUCUCUUGCUGCCACAGUGUAAGAAGCUCCUUUCACCUUUGACCUCCCGCCAUGAUUCUGAGCCCUCCCGAGCCAUGCAGAACUUUUGCAGAUAUAUUGUUCAGUCAAGGUCCUUCCUUGAAUGAUUCAGAAUGUAGCAUCUUCCUCCAAAUCCAUCUGAAUAUAGCAAGAAGAUCCUCGCCAGAUACGUGGGCCUCUUGAACUUGGACUUCCCAGCCUGCAGAAUGGGCCCGUUACUGUCAGAUUCCGGCAGUUGACCCUGGUGAUUUCACAGCAGCAAGCACUGCAGGCGUUCCCAACACACAAGGCAAACUCUGUAUAUGGGCUCACCACCCACAGAUCCAGCUGUCUGUCAUGUCGUUCCCAUAUUGAAGGAACAUAACCUGUUAUUAAGCCAAUUCAGCCCUGGAAGAAGGAACAAGUUUCCAAAAUGCAAUCUUUGAGUUUGGAAAAUGGCAUUUGAGAGGUAUAAAUAAAGCUAAAUUCUUAUAGAACUUAAA